UUUCCUUUGUCCUUCAAAGUUUCGCACAUGGAUGACGUGGCCAGACAAAAGAAAGUUAAAGAGUGUUUUAUUAAAGUACUUUAGGAGGCAGUGAGGGAAACACCACUAAUUUUCCUCAUUGACGAGGCCCAGUAUAUGGAUGCAGCUUCCUGGGAGUUUUUGGAAACAUUGCUCUCCAGUAUGCCCAUCAUCAUGGUGAUGACGUUGACCCCUAUCUUCACCCUGUGUGGCUGGGCCGAGCAGUUCCUGCAGAGCCCUCAAGCUAUCCUUAUGCCUGUUUCGAAGUUGGCAACAACCUCGCUGUUGAGAAUGGCAUGUUGGGAACUAGGGGUGCUACCCUUCACAGGUGCUUUGGAAACCCACUUUAUUGUGAGGUCCUAUGCCAGGACCUUCUCUCUAACGACAUGUUGCUCUUUCAUGUCCUACAAAAGGAGGAAGAGGAAAACAGCAAGUGGGAAACCCUCUCAGCCAAUGCCAUGAAAUCCAUAAUGUAUAGUAUUUCUCCUGCCAACUCUGAGGAAGGCCAGGAACUUUAUGUCUGCACAGUCAAGGAUGAUGUGAACUUGGAUACAGUACUUCUCCCACCCUUUUUGAAAGAAAUAGCAGUAAGCCAACUGGAUCAACUGAGCCCAGAGGAACAGUUGCUGGUCAAGUGUGCUGCAAUCAUUGGUCACUCCUUCCAUAUAGAUUUGCUGCAGCACCUCCUGCCUGGCUGGGAUAAAAAUAAGCUACUUCAGGUCUUGAGAGCUCUUGUGGGUAUACAUGUGCUCUGCUGGUCUGACAAGAGCCAAGAGCUUCCUGCUGAGCCCAUAUUAAUGCCUUCCUCUAUCGACAUCAUUGAUGGAACCAAAGAGAAGAAGACAAAGUUAGAUGGUGGUUCAGCCUCUCUUCUCAGGCUACAAGAAGAAUUAUCCCUACCACAAACUGAGGUGUUGGAAUUUGGAGUGCCUCUGCUACGGGCAGCUGCUUGGGAGCUCUGGCCCAAGGAACAACAGAUAGCUCUGCACCUUGAAUGUGCCUGCUUUCUCCAAGUUUUGGCCUGCCGCUGUGGGAGCUGCCAUGGAGGAGACUUUGUCCCCUUUCAUCAUUUUGCAGUUUAUUCUACUAAGAAUUCCAAGGGGACCUCUCGAUUCUGUACUUACAGAGAUACUGGCUCAGUGCUAACACAAGUGAUCACAGAAAAAUUGCAGCUGCCUUCUCCCCAAGAUAGUUUUCAGUUCCAGACAAAGCCAUCCAGAACUCAGGAGGCCUUCUCAAGUGAAUGCUGCAGAACAGAGGAAGAGUUCCUAGAUCAAGUGAAGAGGAAGCUGGCUCAGACCAGCCCUGAGAAAGACCUGUUGACCACAAAGCCUUGUCACUGUAAGGAUAUCCUGAAGUUAGUGCUCUUACCCCUCACCCAGCAUUGCUUGGUCGUUGAAGAAACCACCUGUGCAUUUUAUUACCUGCUGGAGGCUGCGGCUGCCUGCUUGGACCUGUCAGAUAAUUAUAUGGCCUUCUUUUAUUUGAGGAAGGCAAGCAGUCUUCUGGGCCAACCCUCAGCAUUUUCAUUUUUGAAAAAACAGAAGGUGAAGAUCUGUCAGUUUGAGGAGGCCACUUUCUGCCGUCUUCUGUCAGAGGUCUGUUUCAACAUGGGACGUAUCACUUUAGCCAAAAAAUUGGCUAGGAAAGCCCUUCGACUGCUGAAAAGGAAUUUCCCUUGGACCUGGUUUGGUGUCCUUUUCCAGACAUUCCUGGAAAAGUAUUGGCAUUCCUGUACCCUGAGCCAACCUCCAAACGACCCUAGUGAGAACAGUAAGAAUUUGGCAGUCCUGCAGCAGCAGGUGCAUUGCCUCUCCCUACUCUGGCAGCUCUAUAACCAGGAGGCCACAGCCAGUAGCUACAGGUUUGCCUGCCUGGCUACUCUUAUGCAGAAGAAUUCAGCUGAUGAGUUUGCAAAUGAAGCCCAGGUUGUCUCUACCUAUGUGGAGCUCUCUCAGUUCUCCCAGAGCGUGGGCAUCAAGGACAAGUGGCUGCACUGUGAGCAGAUGGCCAUUCAGAAAAGCAGUUUAUGUUGGUUCUCCAGGGAGGGGUUGUUGGCCACAGCUCAGCUCAUGCAGGCCCUGGCCUACACCAAGCUCUGCCUUGGUCAUCUUGACUUCUCCAUCAAGCUGGAUUUGGUCUGUGUGUCCAUGUACUGGAGAGUCAGUGGGUGCUCAUUUCUCAGAGUUAUGAUGUCCUUGGCCUGGCCUGCUUUUACUCUGCUUGCUUAG
ensembl:lincRNA